rnacentral:rRNA from 1 species
GCCUCCCUCCGCCGCCACUCACGACUCCUACCGGACGGCGAGCGAGGUAGGGGAAGUCGUUGUCACAAGUAGGGGCGAACCCGUCGAUGCAGCGGACCGGCCCGGCCGGUCGGAGGCGAUGAAGCCGUUCGGGUGGUAAGCUCUUUCGGUCAGGAACGAUAAUGACGGUACCUGCAGAAGAAGCUGCGGCUAACUACGUGCCAGCAGCCGCGGUAAUAC